rnacentral:tRNA from 1 species
AGGCCUUAGCUUAAUUAAAGCAUUUGUUUUGCAUGCAGAAGAUGUGGGGUAGUGUCCUGCAGGUCUUAU